rnacentral:ncRNA from 1 species
CCCUGACAGCUACAUAGUGUAGCUGACACUAGCCAAGACAGGAGAUAGACAUG